CGGGGGCGCCGUCCGCGGGCGGCGCCGGCGCCGGCGCCGCGGGCGCGCGGCCGGUCGGAUGAGCGCGGCCGGGUCGCCCGGCGUCCCCGU
rnacentral:tRNA from 1 species